GUCCCUAGUCACCCCACCAGCCCCAUAAUUGAUGCUAAUAAUGUCAUUCCGAGUAAGAUUUUGGACCGUAUGGACCGGAUGGAGCAACAAAUGGAUAAGGUGUCAAGUACUAUGGAAGUACUACCAAGCCAGGUUCAUGAUGUAAUUGACAAAGAGAUGAGGACUAUCAAGAGGUCCAUAAUCAAUGAUCUUUGGAAGGUUACAGCUUCAAAGCGUACAAUAGACCCCCUUUUACUAGAGUUGACACUCCUCAUCCUACCAAGCCAGCGAGUGACUCCAACAAAUCCCCAGUGGCAGGAAACCAAGACCAAAAUGAACAAAAAAUGGAUGAUGAUGUUGUCUUUGCAGAUAGGUCUUUAAUCUUGUGGAAGACAUUAUUAUCUGCCGAAAUUGAGAAGAAGGGAGAGGGGAUUCAAAAUGAACAAUCUGAACCUGUGGAACCCAAGGCUUGCACCCUACCUGUGGAAGAGAAGGUCUGGAAGAAAUAUCAUUCCAGCAAAGGGAGGGUGGUUUGUGCAUUCGACCUAAAGACUAAGGUUGAUGAGGAGAGUUUUAAGACGGUCCAAUAUAUUUUCACUAACAGUCUAAAGAAAAAGUAAGCAGCAACUGCCAACAUUAAAUUUAUAUUUAAUUAAAUGAAAUUAUGUUUUUCUAUUAUAAUAGCUUAAUCUAGCUUAUUCUAUUGAGCAAGGAAAUCUUAUUCUCCAGCGUCAUAACAAAACUGUCGAGAUCACAACUGAGCCUGUUCAGACCUGAUACAUAAAUUGAUGGGAAUCAACAACAGCUUGGAAAAAUGUUGAUAAAGAAUGUUGCAAACUAUGAACAGUGGAGAGAAUGUCACUUCUCUAGCGAUCUCAAAGUUUGCGAGCAUCCAAGGAUGGGUUAGCAUGACAUUGGUUCCUGGCUGACAUUGACAUGAAAGUUCAUCAUGUUUACAUUUGGGACUCUAUGGUAAAUCCUAUAGAUUAACGGUGAAGAACUAUAUUAACUAGGGAAAUGGUGAGUGACAAUUAUGAUCAGAAUAGUAUAGUACAUGUUAUAUUUGAAAUUGAUGUGAAUUAAUGCAUCGUUUUUCCUUGUUAUGCAACUAGAAAGCCUUGAGAGGGUUCUUGAAGUUGAGCAUGGAAACAAACGUUGAAGGGGCUCUUGGAUAUCUCGAUUGUGCAAUCAGAAAGGACCCGCAUCAGUUCGUGGAUUAUCAAUGUGAUGAAGAAAAUCGAUUGUCCAAUUUAUUUUGGGCAAACGGAUACUCUCGCCGAGAUUAUGCUGCUUUUGGGGAAGUACUUGCUUUUGACACCACCUGAAAAGCUAACAAGUACAACAAGCCUCUUAUUAUACUACUUGGUGUUAACCAUCACUUUGGUAGUUGCGUAUUUGGACUAGGCCUCCUACUUUAUGAAAGCGUUCCGGCAUACUAUUGGAUGUUGACAAAGUUCCUCAAGUGUAUGAAUAAUAAGAUGCCAUUGGUUGUGAUAACAAAUGGUGAUCUAGCCAUGAAGUCCGCUAUUGAUUUGAUGUUUCCAGGAGCAAUCCAUCAUUCCUGUACAUGGCAUAUAUGUAAUAAUGUAUUCAAACAUGUUCAUGAUCAUGCUUUCAAGAGACGCUUCACUAGGCUAAUGUACAAGUACAUGUCCGAAGAAGAAUUUGAGAUGGGAUGGAAAUAUCUGAUUGAUGAGUAUGAUCUACAUGAAAAUGAUUGGUGCGUGAAAAAUUAUAAUGAUAGGCACGCAUGGGGAGAAGCAUUUGUAAGGGGUCAUUUGUGUGGUGGAAUAAGAACAACACAGAGGAACGAGUCAACGAACUCAUCGAUGAAGAAAUUCCUUCUAGCUUGUUAUCCUCUUGAUCGGUAAAAUAUGAUGUGCAAGUAUACAUAAUCGAUUCAAGUAAUAAAAUAGUAAGUAAAGUAUCGUUCCCACAAGGACUA